UACGUAGGGGGCGAGCGUUAUCCGGAUUUAUUGGGCGUAAAGCGUGUGUAGGUGGUUGAUUAAGUCUGAAAUGAAAGGCUGGAGCUUAACUCCAGUUUGUUUUGGAAACUGGUUAACUUGAGUGUAGUAGAGGCAAAUGGAAUUUCUAGUGUAGCGGUAAAAUGUGUAGAUAUUAGAAGGAACAUCGGUGGCGAAGGCGAUUUGCUGGGCUAUUACUGACACUGAGACACGAAAGCGUGGGGAGC
rnacentral:rRNA from 1 species